UUAUGGUUAGGGUACACAGUUGUAUCUGGUAAAUGGAAGGAUUAGAGGUCUUGGGGUUGUAAUGAUCUCAACCUAUUCUCAAACUUUAAAUGGAUAAGAAGCUCAGCUUGCUGGCAUAGAUCUGGGCGUGGAAUGGGAGUGCCUAGUGGGCCCCUUUGGGUAAGUAGAACUGGCGCUGUGGGAUGAACCCAACACCAGGCUAAGGUGCCCGAUGUUGACAUUCAUCAGACCCCAGAAAACGAGUUGGUUGAUAUAGACAGGAGGACAGUGGCCAUGGAAGUCGGAAUCCGCUAAGGAGUGUGUAACACUCACCUGCCGAAUCAACUAGCCCUGAAAAUGAAUGGUGCUGGAGCCUCGGACGCAUACCCAGCCAUCACUGGCAAUUGGUCACGCGCCAGACG
rnacentral:ncRNA from 1 species